rnacentral:rRNA from 1 species
UGGUGGCGAGCGGCGGACGGGUGAGUAAUGCAUAGGAAUCUGCCCGAUAGUGGGGGAUAACGUGGGGAAACCCACGCUAAUACCGCAUACGUCCUACGGGAGAAAGCGGAGGAUCUUCGGACUUCGCGCUAUCGGAUGAGCCUAUGUCGGAUUAGCUAGUUGGUAAGGUAACGGCUUACCAAGGCGACGAUCCGUAGCUGGUCUGAGAGGAUGAUCAGCCNCACUGGGACUGAGACACGGCCCAGACUCCUACGGGAGGCAGCAGUGGGGAAUAUUGGACAAUGGGCGAAAGCCUGAUCCAGCCAUGCCGCGUGUGUGAAGAAGGCUUUCGGGUUGUAAAGCACUUUCAGCGAGGAAGAAAGCCUUUGGGUUAAUACCCCAGAGGAAGGACAUCACU